rnacentral:rRNA from 1 species
UACGUAGGGGGCGAGCGUUGUCCGGAGUUACUGGGCGUAAAGCGCAUGCAGGCGGUCCUGUAAGUUUGGAGUGACAGUUUCCGGCUUAACUGGGAAAGUGCUUUGAAAACUGCAGGACUUGAGGGCUUCAGAGGGACACGGAAUUCCGGGUGGAGUGGUGAAAUGCGUAGAUAUCCGGAGGAACACCGAAGGCGAAGGCGGCAUUCUGGACCGAUAUUGACGCUGAGGAGCGAAAGCCAGGGGAGCAAACGGG